rnacentral:rRNA from 1 species
AGUCUACGGGAGGCAGCAGUGAGGAAUAUUGGUCAAUGGGCGGAAGCCUGAACCAGCCAAGUAGCGUACAGGAUGACGGCCCUAUGGGUUGUAAACUGCUUUUAUGCGGGGAUAACCGGGGCCACGCGUGGCCCCCUGCAGGUACCGCAUGAAUAAGGACCGGCUAAUUCCGUGCCAGCAGCCGCGGUAAUGACU